rnacentral:lncRNA from 1 species
AGUUACACAAGAAGAAUUGGCCCUUGACCAGCCUGAUUGGUUGCAGGAGGGGACCAAUCAGAGGUACCUCCCAUUUUUCAUCUGCAGCCCAAUGCAAAGUAAUGACAUGGAUCUGGAGAGAUUCUCUUAGGAGAGAAUCUGGCUAAGUGUCUAGCAGGAUGAUUGAUUAACAAGAUGUUUUGUUUUCAUCAUCUCAGAGAUAACUGUAUUGAGGUAUAAUUGAUAUGCCAAAUAACUGGACACAUUCAACUUGUGCAAUUUGAUGAGUUUGGAGAUACACAUACAUCUGUGAAACCAUCACCAAAAUCAAGGAUCGUUGUCAUUGGAUUUAAGAGGGCCUACCCUGAUAAUACAGGAUAAACUCCUUCUCCCAAAACCUUUUCUUCUCUCAGAAUCUUUUGGCAGCAAACACAUUCAAGCAUCUUCUAUGUGCCAAGAACUUGCUGGAAAACAUCACAAAAGUUAAUAUUUUCUGGAGAUCAAGGAAUGAAACUCAGCCCUCUGCAAAUGGAACACAAACGCCUGGUACAUGGAUGCUACAAUGAAAAGAAUAUGGGUGCUGAAAUCAGAGAGAAUCAUCCAAGAUGAUCCUUAUGCAUGCUGAACUCUGAGAGCCACCAGUGAAGAAGAUAAGUGACCCAUCUACCUGUAGCUGGAAAAUAAAGGCUCUUUGGGAUUCUUUCCCAUGAGUCUUCAUUUCACCAUAUUGGUGAGAGAAGGCAUUCAGGCCCAAUAAUUAACUGAACAUUAGCUGUGUACCAGACACUGUGGUCGACAUUGAGAUAUAACGGAUUUAAGAAAGUCUUUGUGGCUGUGGUGGCUUCAAAUCACUCCCGAGGCUUUAGAAGAAUAUAAUUGCCGUUCUAAGAAGAAUCUGAGGCCUCUAGGAGAUCUGCCAGUAGUGGCCCCAAUGUAUAACAGCACUAGCUCAGUGAAGAGAGAGAGAAAAGAUCUGAAGAGAGUGGUUGCAGUUUGAGCUCUGUCAAUGGGACAGUCCUGGGCAGGAGACUGGGGAGAAGAGGCGGCUUGCUGGUUUUCCUGAACCACUUCCACCCUGAAAGACUCCUUGCAUACAAUCAUCAGAGAAGAACCGUGGGAACCAAGAACCAUGAGCAGGAGAACCAUGAGCACACUGUUCGCAAUGGCCAAGAUUUGGAGGCAACCUAAGUGUCCAUCGACAGACAAAUGGUUAAAGAAAAUGAGGGAGGAGGAAAAAACCAUGGCUGCGGAGGUGAUUUAAUAUCCUGUUGACUCUGAAGAAAAAUACACUUCUUCAUUAUAAGAGUUUUAUUGCCAAUGACUAGAAGGAAAUGUAAAGGGGACAACACAAGAUGACUAACACAGGAAGUUAUAAAACUCACAGCUCUAACUGUCAUGGCCCUGGGCCCAUGGUGCCUGAAUCCCUCUGGGAGUAUUAAAUGGAAGGCCCCCUGGUA